UCGAGAAUAAUUCACAAUGGGGGCAACCCUGAUGGUGCAACGCCGCGUGGAGGAUGACGGUCUUCGGAUUGUAAACUCCUGUCAUCCGGGAGUAAGACCUGACGGUUAACAGCCGGCAGGGUUGAUAGUACCGGAAGAGGAAGGGACGGCUAACUUCGUGCCAGCAGCCGCGGUAAUACGAAGGUCCCGAGCGUUGUUCGGAAUCACUGGGCGUAAAGGGAGCGUAGGCGGCGUGGCAAGUCAGACGUGAAAUACCGGGGCUCAACCCCGGAACUGCGUCCGAUACUGCCGCGCUCAGAGGGUUGGAGAGGUGGCCGGAAUUCUUGGUGUAGCAGUGAAAUGCGUGGAUAUCAAGAGGAACACCCGUGGCGAAAGCGGGCCACUGGACAACACCUGACGCUGAGGCUCGAAGGCCAGGGUAGCGAAAG
rnacentral:rRNA from 2 species